rnacentral:rRNA from 1 species
GACGAACGCUGGCGGCGUGCCUAAUACAUGCAAGUUGAGCGAUGAAGAUUGGUGCUUGCACCAAUUUGAAGAGCAGCGAACGGGUGAGUAACGCGUGGGGAAUCUGCCUUUGAGCGGGGGACAACAUUUGGAAACGAAUGCUAAUACCGCAUAACAACUUUAAACAUAAGUUUUAAGUUUGAAAGAUGCAAUUGCAUCACUCAAAGAUGAUCCCGCGUUGUAUUAGCUAGUUGGUGAGGUAAAGGCUCACCAAGGCGAUGGUACAUAGCCGACCUGAGAGGGUGAUCGGCCACAUUGGGACUGAGACACGGCCCAAACUCCUACGGGAGGCAGCAGUAGGGAAUCUUCGGCAAGGGACGAAAGUCUGACCGAGCAACGCCGCGGGAGUGAAGAAGGUUGUCGGAUCGUAAAACUCUGUUGGUAGAGAAGAACGUUGGUGAGAGUGGAAAGCUCAUCAAGUGACGGUAACUACCCAGAAAGGGACGGCUAACUACGUG